UACGUAGGGCGCAAGCGUUGUCCGGAAUUACUGGGCGUAAAGGGCUCGUAGGCGGCCAACUAAGUCAGACGUGAAAUCCCUCGGCUUAACCGGGGAACUGCGUCUGAUACUGGAUGGCUUGAGUUUGGGAGAGGGAUGCGGAAUUCCAGGUGUAGCGGUGAAAUGCGUAGAUAUCUGGAGGAACACCGGUGGCGAAGGCGGCAUCCUGGACCAACACUGACGCUGAGGAGCGAAAGCCAGGGGAGCAAACGGG
rnacentral:rRNA from 1 species